UGGCUCAGCGCUAACUUCAUCACCGGCCUCAUUGUUCCUUUACAGGCCGCUCUCCUCUCAGGUCACUACACAGCAGAGAGCUCCUGUAUGUCAGAAGGCAUUUCCCGCCACGGCUUGGAUCCCAACAACUAUGCACAUUCUGGGUGCUGCUACAAAGACGGUCUUGGGCCAGCGGGCUCGUCCACGUGGAACCAUCGACCCGGGGGACCGAAAUAGCCGUGGCACAACUGGAUCAGCGCUCUUUAUCAGACCGUUAAAGAGACCAGUGAUGAAGAUGCGGGGACACGACUGACUACAGUAGCGGAGCCAUUUCCGCUACCCUACGUCAUUUCAUUGGCGCCUAAGGAUGAAUCUUCCGGUACACACUCUCCCAAACGGCUCGGCCUGCCAACACAUCGGAGCGUUUCAACACCUUCUGUUGUGUUGAUGGAUUGUGUUGCCUUUUUGCCAGAAAUGGUUUUGCAUCACUUAAUGUGAGAAAGUAAAUGUUGCUUUGCCUCCCAGUGUUCUGAACAACAACAGGUUUGACUACAGAGGGAAGCGCAGAUGAGUGUACUGCUCUCUUACCUGAUCAAAAAUAAAAUGUGGUCUUAUAGAUGGGCCCGUGGCAAGUACAUAAAGACAAAAACAUAAAGACACAAAAGACUAUUUAAGAAUAAAAUAGUUUUA